rnacentral:rRNA from 1 species
GGAGGAAAAGAAACUAACAAGGAUUCCCCUAGUAGCGGCGAGCGAAGCGGGAAGAGCUCAAAUUUAUAAUCUGGCACCUUCGGUGUCCGAGUUGUAAUCUCUAGAAGUGUUUUCCGCGUUGGACCGCAGACAAGUCUGUUGGAAUACAGCGGCAUAGUGGUGAAACCCCCGUAUAUGGUGCGGACGCCCAGCGCUUUGUGAUACACUUUCAAUGAGUCGAGUUGUUUGGGAAUGCAGCUCAAAUUGGGUGGUAAAUUCCAUCUAAAGCUAAAUAUUGGCGAGAGACCGAUAGCGAACAAGUACCGUGAGGGAAAGAUGAAAAGCACUUUGGAAAGAGAGUUAACAGUACGUGAAAUUGUUGGAAGGGAAACGCUUGAAGUCAGACUUGCUUGCCGGAGCUUGCUUCGGUUUGCAGGCCAGCAUCAGUUUUCCGGGGUGGAUAAUGACGGUUUGAAGGUAGCAGUCUCGGCUGUGUUAUAGCUUUCCGUUGGAUACGCCCUGGGGGACUGAGGAACGCAGCGUGCUUUUUGCGAAAGACUCGUCUUUUUCACGCUUAGGAUGCUGGUGGAAUGGCUUUAAACGACCCGUCUUG